CAGAAAGGGUCAGAAAUGAGCUGGAAGGGGCAGAAGGAGCACAAACAUAAAGUAGGAGAAUGAGCAGGAAGGGCCUGCAAGGAGCAGGAAGGAGCACAAAGGGACAGCAAGGCGCACAAAGGUAAAGGAGAAGAAAGAAUCAGAAGGAGCACAAAGGUAAAGUAGGAGAAAGAGCAGAAAGGGACAGCAAGGAGCACAAAGGUAAAGUAGAAAAG
rnacentral:lncRNA from 1 species